rfam:Parcubacteria group bacterium RIFOXYD2_FTLL_52_8 rifoxyd2_full_scaffold_4552, whole genome shotgun sequence.
GCCCCCGUAGUUCAAUGGAUAGAACGGUCCCGUCCUAAGGGAGCGAUGUGUGUUCGAUUCACGCCGGGGGCA